rnacentral:rRNA from 1 species
AACGAACGCUGGCGGCAGGCCUAACACAUGCAAGUCGAACGCUGUAGCAAUACAGAGUGGCAGACGGGUGAGUAACGCGUGGGAACCUUCCCAAUGGUACGGAAUAGCUCAGGGAAACUUGAGGUAAUACCGUAUAAGCCCCGAGGGGGAAAGAUUUAUCGCCAUUGGAUGGGCCCGCGUCGGAUUAGCUAGUUGGUGAGGUAAUGGCUCACCAAGGCGACGAUCCGUAGCUGGUUUGAGAGAAUGACCAGCCACACUGGGACUGAGACACGGCCCAGACUCCUACGGGAGGCAGCAGUGGGGAAUCUUGGACAAUGGGCGAAAGCCUGAUCCAGCCAUGCCGCGUGAGUGAUGAAGGCCUUAGGGUUGUAAAGCUCUUUUGGCGGGGACGAUAAUGACGGUACCCGCAGAAUAAGUCCCGGCUAACUUCGUGCCAGCCGCCGCGGUAAAAC